GAAUUCACACUAGGAGAAGAAUUCGAUGAAAUUCUUAUCUAUAGAUGAGAUGACAAACGACAACAUCUACUGAAUUUUCGAAUAAGUGUCCAAUCAUGAAGGAUGGGUGUAUGUUGCGGAGCUGCUCCUGGAGGAGAUCUUGCAUUGCUGAGUCGCAGUUCAAUGCAGUUGGUCAGGAAAGGAAAGAGUUGUCCAUUGAAAGAGAGGAUGCGCAGAAAUUCUCCCUUAUAGCUCCAUUCCAAUUUUCCAAAUAUCUGAAGAGACUAGGAAGGAUGUGGAAGAAGAAAAGUGGCCCCUGCAACAUUUUUUUUUAUAAAAUUUUUUUUUCUUUUUUCUUAUUUUUUUAUAAUAUUUUUUGUUUGAGCUCCCGGCCUCACGCAGAAGUGCGAGCAAGAAAGAGGGAUCCUCGGGCGAGCUGGCCCUGAAGCGCUCGAGAGUGGCAAUGACGUUACUGCCCCGACGUGGGAUGAUUCGCCGAUCGUGAGCGGUAUUCAUAUUUCGAAAACAUUUAAAAUCUAAUUUUAAAUUCUCUGUAAAAAAUCGUAUCCAAAAUAUAGACGCUCAUAAGUUUUGGUGUUCUAGAGUCUUAACAAAGAAAAAGAUUCCUUUACCGGUAUUUCUUUGGCUGAUUCCUUUGGUAGACAAUCAAAUUGUGCCCAUUUGCAGAGUAAACAUUUUUUCAAAGUUGACGAUGCUGUUUGUGCGCUACAUUUCCAACAAAAG